rnacentral:rRNA from 1 species
UACGUAGGGUGCAAGCGUUGUCCGGAAUUAUUGGGCGUAAAGAGCUCGUAGGCGGUUUGUCGCGUCUGCUGUGAAAACCCGAGGCUCAACCUCGGGCCUGCAGUGGGUACGGGCAGACUAGAGUGCGGUAGGGGAGACUGGAAUUCCUGGUGUAGCGGUGAAAUGCGCAGAUAUCAGGAGGAACACCGGUGGCGAAGGCGGGUCUCUGGGCAGUAACUGACGCUGAGGAGCGAAAGCGUGGGGAGCAAACAGG